GCCCCCUGUUGAGGAACCCGAGGAUGUACUCCUCAGGACAAUUAUGGGGAUGUUACAGAACCUGCAACAGUGCCACCUGGUGGAGCAGGCGGGCUAACUGACAUUAUCUAUGACGAUCAAGCAGGUGGAUGAGGGUUGAUAGAGAGGAACAUGUCGUGGUAAAAAUGGACUUUUUCCGGCCAACUACGUAGAACUUCAGCAAAUAAAGCGGACUCACUGGGACACACGAUCAUAUAAUCAUAUGUUGUUGCAAAAUAUUGAUGAUCAAAGUCAUCGUACGAUUGUCUUAUAUGAUUCUCUAGAUGAAUUCAAAAUCAUUAUGUACCUAACUGUUUUGUAUAUGAUUUAAGUGUUUAAUACAUAGUCUUCCUAUUCACUUUUCUGAUUACUGAAUGUAAUUUGUGAAAGUUUGAGUGCAUGAAAUGGACGAAUUGUUUUGAAAAGAAAUAUGGAGUUCUGUAUAUAUUAAUACACAUCAUGAUUUGUAAUUUGUAUAUAAGAACUAUGUUUAUUACAGCUGUAUAGGUCAGGGAAGCAUUUGUAAGAAUUUGUGUGUGAUAAAAUCAAUCUGAACAAAUUGAAAAGUCAUUUACAAAAUGCAAACAAAUGAUAUCCAUGUAUUAACAUAGCAAGAUCAUAAAAACAUUAUCAUAUUUAUUUCUACAUAUGAAUGAAGAUAUUUCUACAUUUUA